CCCUUAGAUGUUCUGGGCUGCAUGCGCGCUACACUGAAGCUAUCAACACGUUUUCCCUCCCUGAGAAGGGCGGGUAACCUUUUGAAUCAGCUUCGUGGUAGGGAUCGGGGCUUGCAAUUGUUCCCCGUGAACCAGGAAUUCCUAGUAGACGCGAGUCAUAAGCUCGCAUCGAUUAAGUCCCUGCCCUUUGUACACACCGCCCGUCGCUGCUACCGAUUGAACGUUUUAGUGAGGCAUUUGGACCGACGCAUCUCAGUUUAACCGCUGGUUUGUGUUGGAAAGACUUCCAAACUUGAGCGUUUAGAGGAAGUAAAAGUCGUAACA
rnacentral:rRNA from 1 species